UAAACUUAUUUAACAUGUGUAAGCGUGAGUGUCAGAAAGAUAAAGCAGGGACAAUUGUGUCCAAAGGGAUAAUUGUGAUUUCAAAGUUUACUGAGGAAAAGAGUUCAAAAAGAAAGGGAAAUAUGUGAGAUCCGAACAAGCUGGAAGAAUAAGCAGUUGUACGCGAUAUGGGGUGAAGAAAUUUAAUGCACAAUGCCUGGCGCGAUGAGGAAGUUUGGAAAGCUCUGUGCUUUGCUGAAAACACAUGGUGUGUGUGUGCUUACAUCCGCCUAGGCAGACUUCAUUCUGCAAUGCAGCAGUUUCAAGAAAAGGGAAGAAUACAGAUCGAGAGGAGGCCUGUUAAAGCCUGGAGGACCAGUGGAUAGGAUAAUUAAUGCAAAAUGACUGAUGGCUGUUGAAGAAGGCAAGUCCUGCAAAGAGGAUUGUGCGUGAUCAAUGAAGCAUCACUGACUGACAGUUUCCUUCGAUCUUACACCCAGAUCCAACUACCGGAACGAGGAUUUGUCACCAGAGGCCGGAGGCUACUCCAUGCAUAUUUGCAAUGCAAGGCAAAAAGCUGAAAGGAAAAAGAAACAGGGGAAGAAAGAGAAACAAGACGUUUCUUUUUACAAAAAAAGUUAAAUAAAAAAGCAGCUCGGGAAGAAAGGAUAGGUAUUAAAAAAUCAGAUAAAUUUGAGAAUGGAAAUGAUAGUUGCAGAUGUAUAUAAUGUGUCUAUUUAAACUUUCCAAUACCGUAUAAAUGUUUUGCCUCGGCUCUCGUUUUGUGAGCUCGUGUGCGGAUUGACCACAUAGGUCUGAGCUACAGAGGUAACUACGCAUUAAACUUGUUAACAUCUACAGUCUAGCAUCAAGUCGUCGUUUCCCACCCCCCAUCCCAUUUCCGUCAUGAAUUGUCAAUUUUAGGCCGGCUUCACAAAUUCAAAACCAACCAACCAGUGGUCUUUGGGCUUUGGAUCUUGAUUCGGAAGCAUGACCGUCAGAAAGCAGCUUCAUGCAAUAAAAUGGCAAUGUGUUUCAGAGAGGAAAUAGCGCCUUUUUCUUUCUGAAGUGACUGAAAUUCAAACAAGCAAGGCACCGGGCUGUUCCUUUGCUGUAUGAUUUCAGGAUGGGUUGUAAAAGAGUCUCGGAAAGAGAGAGACUGUUACUUUAAUCCACGGAGCUUUGAGCGAAUGUGAGAAAUCUCUCUAAUAGGGCACUGCAUCUGUGUUGCAUUAUAAGCUGUUGAGGUCACCCUCGUAAAUGCAAGAAGCUAUUGGCACGGCUGCUUCAUUACGAUGCAUUUUAUUGAAGAAAAACGUAAAAGUAAACGGGGCUCGAAAGGACUGAAAAGCAGUCUGCAGUCUGUGAAUGUUUCAGUCCGUGUAAUUUUUUUUGCGUUUUCUUAAUCGGGUGUUGAAGAGAAAUUUGCGAAGAUAUUAUCUGGACAGAUCACGUUUCAAACUGCAGCAUUUUUUUGUGGGGAGGGUAGUGGAGUGGGAAAAAAGGAUCUGGUUUUAGCUUUAAUAAAUUAGAACCUACCGAUAGGCGUAACGGCUACUUUUAAACAUCAAUUAGGAGAAAGUGUUCCAAAGGUAAACUUAGUAUGAACAUUCUAAGUGACUGUAACGGCAAAUCAAAGAAACGUAUCAAAACCGAAAUACCUCAUAAGGUCAGACAUUUCCUUCUUUAGGCUCGAACAGCUUUUAUCAACAACAAAAAAAUACAUUUUGCACAAAGGGCCUUUAUUGUGCGAUGGCGCUCUCACACGGUAUCACAAAGUUACUCAUACUCACACACAAUCCCAUGAAGGAAACUUGCCAAAAUGAUUGAAAAUAAAGAUAGCAAAUCUCCUUUCACGGCUGCGAAGCCUCUCUUCUGGCGUCUGUGAAGCCACUUUGUGCUAAACCUUUCUUUUUAUUUAUUUUACAAAUGAAUCUGUAACCACGCCACAAUUUACUAAAACCGAAGGGGGGGUUUAUUAUCAACCAUCUGACCAGCUAAAUUUUAAAACAGACUGCUUCGACUAGGGAGGGAAUCAAGGGGCCGGUGUGACCACACUGAAUGAAUUCCACUUGAACUCUGGUUUGUGUCCAGUUAACCUUUCUACCGCAAUCUCUUCAUUUUCUGCCUAGUUUUCACCAAAAGAAAAGUUACCACGUUAAAGAGCAGCGUAUGUGGAUGUGUGAAUUAUUUUAUAUAUAAUUCCCAAUAGCUUGGGCAUUACGUGAUGUAUUCCCCCGGCACGGGAAUUUUUGUUGGUUGAUUUGUUUUUGUUCUAUAAAGUGCAGCACAGACGCUGGUUAGAUGGUCUUUGAAAGUGCGAACUGAAGAGAGUUCGAGAUGAACUCGACGGUAGAAAGCUUUCAAAUCAACUGGAGAAGGAGAGAUUCCCUUCCCAGCACGUUCUGGUUUAUUUAUGUACUGCAAACCAACAAGGAGAUGCUGUGCUGACAAUAUCCAACUCGGUAUCUGUGCUGGUGGGUUUUUAAAAAUGAUCUGGUUUCGAAUCCCGAUUCUCUCGCCACACGUUUAGAAUAUUAUAUGGAAAAUUAAACAGAUCUGAUAUGCACAGUCAGAACUCGCACCUUCACCAAAAAGUUUCAUUAUUGAGAAUGUGCGGAGGGUGUGUUAUGUGAUAAAUCGCGCUGCCUUCAGUUCGUCAAUUAGACGCGGACCCCUCGAAACAAAAUAUCAGCUCUGCUUUAACGUCAGGAUUGUACAGCAGCUCAGAAAUGGUCAAGCUCCUAAGAACCAGCUUUUGUCACGCGUUUAUACGAUAUACCCAUUUACAAUUGUUGAUCACUUGAACAGGUUCCUUUUUUUAAAAUGCCCAUUUAUAAAUUUUCAUAUUCCACUAAAUGAGAAGUGGGCGGCCCAGGAAAUUCGAAAGAGUGCCCAUCAUUUUCGUGUUGUAAAUAUUAGUCGAGGGUUUUUUUUGAAAGAAAUAGAUUUGGCGUUUUCUAAAUAAAUCUUUGUAUAACAUACAGCAAGAUUCGCCCUUUACCAAUGUGUAGAGGAGGUGGGAAUAAAAUCUAGCUAGAGAUGCACGCUUUUUUAAAUGAAUCCAAAUUAAAUAUUGUUUUACAAUUGAGCAACAAUUUUCGGAGCUUAUUUUUCUGACGGUCUGUCAAUUUUUGAUGUUGAAAUGGACGUUAGACAAGCCCCUUUCUUUGCUUACGGUUUUCUACAACCGAGUGAGCCUGUCACAUCAAUAGUUUUAAAACAGGGAAAGUGAAUUUGAGCGUUCAUCACUCAAAACUUAUCCAAGGGCUUAGUGCCCCUGCUACAUGCAUGUUGUGGAUAUUCAUGGCUGUUAAUUAUCAAUUUACUAUUCAGCAACAUGCUGAAAACACAAAAACGAUGUUCACGAUGUUAGGGUGGUUAUUACCAAUCGCUAUCUGUGAUGAAUUUAUGUAUUGUAAUGAAUUUAAUUACCGAUGUAAAUAAAUGUUGUACGCUGUAUGGAGAUGGGCUGUUUUAAUAUUGUGUGGGGUGUCCACGCGUUGACUCUGCCUGCCCGAGGCUGCUGAAGCGUUUCGAAGAGGGAAUGGUGGACGCAGUUCAAACUGCAGCCCGAGCUAUCUGCUAGGGAUAGGCUCCCUUCCUCCGCGCUUUCCCUGGAAGAUUGAGGGGCGCCUCAUGUUCGAUGGUAGUCACCGUCAGUGUGUGUGUGUGGGGAGGGGGGGUUGUGAGCGCACGUUAGUUGAACCCUCCCUAAAGAGUGUGAAAAUUAACGCUGUUGAAAAUCUUUAUCAACGGUCUCCUUGUCGAAUUACAAACCCCUACUCCAACGAACACCACCCGGCUCGAGGAGUGAUAUCUCCCAAGAAAUUGUAAAUUGGGGAUUUACAGGUCAUUUUCGGAUUCUCCCCACGGAAACUCGGUGGCGGCUGGGUGUAAAUGUGCAGAACGGGACAGCGACGUUAAACUGCCGGGCGCAGGAACUGCCUCCGAGAGAAUACUUUCGGUUUCAUACCUCAGCAAUGGGAAGCCCUACAGACUGUGGCUGGGAGUUUGCAAUAUAUCAAACCUGGAUGAGCGAGAAUGGUGGGAAAUGGUGCUGCAAAUGGGUACAGCUGUCAGUCAGCAACUACGCAGAUACAGAGACAAGUGGAGUGCUGCUAUGAUAGACCCAAGCACCCUUAGCCUUUCCAGACAUGUGACUUCAAUUUGGAUAAAAGCAAAAUCGAAAGAAAGUACGCCAGUAGGACUACACGGGGAUAAUACAUUGAUCAACG